rnacentral:tRNA from 2 species
GGGCCAUUAGCUCAGCCGGCAGAGCAUUUGACUUUUAAUCAAAGGGUCGCUGGUUCGAAUCCAGCAUGGCUCA